CUGUAGCUGGACAGACACUUUCAACACAAUUUGGAAGUAACCAGGCCAAAAGUACAUUGUGCCCUGGCACGGCAGGCCUGGAAGAGCUGCAGGACAGAAAAGCUGCACCCGGGGAAGGAGGUGACACAGCCAGGGAGAGGCGAGCAGCAGCCAAAAGGCGUGCUUUCCCUCGCACUGUGCUCAGGACGAGGGCAGCAGGGCCAGGCGAGGCUGCAGCUUGAGAUCCAGGGUGCAGGAGGACCCCGCUGCAAACUGUGAUGGACAGACGAUGAGGGGACAUGGAGGAAACCGAGUGUGGCACCAGGCGGUUGCUUUGGUAGAGGGGAUCUGAGUGGAAACAAGCUUGUUUGACUUCAGAUGCCAUGCUCAAAUGGAGAAAGGCCAGAGGCACCUCAGAGCAGAAGAUUAUUAAUUAGUACCCGCUGCCUGUUGUCAGAGCUGAAGGAGGUGUCCUGGGACAUGGCUGGACAAAAAACGUUGCUGAUGUUGUCGACUUGUAUUCAGUGCAACUAUAUCAGAGGUCAACACUGACUCUGCUCAUUAUUUAUUAGCCGGUUAAGUAAACAAAUUUUAAAAUUAGGUCAUCAGUGGGACUGAUGUAGUUUGGGAAGAAUGGAGGCAAACUCUUACUCAGCAGCGCAGCUGACAUCCUCAUCUUGCAAGAAUCCAGCAAAACGUCCAGAUCCCAGCUGGCCCGGGGAAGAGCAGCAUAACCGAGCAGAGCAAGCAGGACUGCAAGGAGCUGGAGAUCUCAAAGCACAGGGUGGAGAAGCGGGAGGUUGCUGCUGGGUCAGCCACUCUGCGGUGGCCGCUGCUGCCAUAAGUGGCUCGUGUGGACUGGCAGUGCCCUGCAGGGUCAAGGCAAAGCCGCUCGGUUUUCUGGGCUUUCUGUUUCCUUUCCAGUUGAUCUGAAACCACAAUGCUGCUAGAUUUUAGAAAAUGGUGUUCAUGCACACAGAUGUAGGAGCACACAAUGAAGGGAAAACAAGAUGCUCCUUUUAGUUGCAAGAAUGACUUCAUUUCUGGGGUGAACCAGAGGAUUACUUGGUGGUUUGUAAUAAAAUGCACAGAAAUUGUUUUGGAACAGCGGUGGAGAUAAUUGUCUUCCUCUACUCCACCUUUCCAGCACUGCUCCUUUCAUGCUGAAAUGAAAGGAAAUGUGUUCUGUUUUUCUUUUAUUCAUUUUUCCUCUCUUCACAAUGGUAUGAAAGAAUUUUCCAGAACCCAUUCCGGCCCGAAGGCUUUCACUGGGGCCAUAAACCUGUGCUGGGUUCAGCAUGCAGCCCCCAAAGGGGCUGCCCUGCAGCACGGCGGCUGGCCAGCCUGUGGGGCGCGAACCCUGGGCUGCCCCGAGCUGUGUAACCACUCGGGAACGUGGCUCCUGAAGCUCACAGCCAGCUCUUCCUGUGAUUAACAUCUGAUUCCUGAGACAGGGGCAAGAGGCAGGGGGAACUGGGGGCCUUUACUUUUGCCUGCCUGUGGCCCAGCAGCAUUUCCCAGCUGCAGAUGAUGGAUUUUUUCCUGCUUAAUUGCUGCCCCAGUUAAUGAGGUUUUUAUCACCUCCCAUAGCUGUUUCUGAAGGUGUGUGAGGAGCGAUGGAAGGAGAUAUGUCCUUUGCUCCCAGUGUCCCAGCCAAGCUGUGGCAGCAGCAUCCCACAGCUGGGGGGCAGAUUUACCUAUUCCUUCCAUUUUCUGUUGUCUUGGCUUUCUGAACUCAGAGAGCUCUCAGUGGGACUUUGCAGCUGCAGUUGUUAUUAUCCCAGCUAGGAGAACUCAAUUCCCUUUUUUUCCCCCCUUUUCAGGCGUUAGAAGCACCAGCCCGUGCCAGUUUCCUCUGCCCAGAAGCUGUCUCAGUUUCUCAGGAAUGAAGCUAAAUGAAGUUUUUCAAUGGCUGUGAGCAGCCUGCAGAUAACAGAAAAGAGUUCUGUGUUGUUCUUUGCGAGUAGGGCCCCUCACAAAGUAGCCUUAACUCUAUAUCAAGGAGUCAAGGGGUUAAAAUAAUAUUGUCCCAGCGUGUCAUUGCUAACUAAGGUCCUGGGCUUAACAAGACCCCAAAUUGUUCGUGUUCUACUGAUGUAAUUUGUUAUCCCGAAAUUUCCCCUAUUUUGUUAUUUCAGCGUGCUUGUCUCUAAGGUCAUAACUCCAACCCAAAUUCUUCACUUACCUUCCCCAAAGUGGGCAGGACUCUGUGCCUGGCUGAUAAACCAAUGCUAGUGCUGACCUCGUUGGUGCCUGAUGUCAUUCUGCUGAGCGGGAGCCUGGGGCUGGCUCUGCCCUCGCACCAGGGGACACUGACCAGUUCCCUGCUGCUCUGCCUGCCACUGGUUUAUUAAAACUAGAAAUGGACCAAGACCAAACCUCGGCAUGAAACUAUGUCUGAAUGUCUGCCUCCAAAUCCUGCAGCUUGCUACAACUGCUCUCUAAUGCUUAAAAUAAAACUGAACCCCCUGCAACACCAAACAACGUCUCAUUCCUCCUCCCUUCAUUCCCCCCAUGAACAAAACUCCUUGCACCUGGACGUAUCAAAGCUGAUGGGCUCGUGGCUACCUCCUUGCCCACCAACGUCAAAGGCAAAAUUCCCAGUGUGGUUGGCAGCGUCUGAGGGUCUGAUUCAGUCCCAUCUGAAACUCUGCCCAAGUAUGUAUGAUCAAUGAUGAUUUGAAAGGAUAUUAUUAUUAUUAUUAUUAUUAUUUAAGUCCAUUCGCGUGGCCUGCUCUGUUUGCAAGACUAGCUGGCAGUUAUUUCCUCUCACUUUCUUCCAAAACAUCCUUCCCAUGUCCUUGUAUUUUAUGGUCUUCACUAAGGAAUGUUGUCUACUGGAUCAUUUUUAUUGGCUUUGCUUUUUAAUAAUCAGCAUUUGAGUUUAAUGCAGCAGUUUUUUGGUAACAAAAUUCAUAGCUUAAAAAACAACAAAGCAGCCCCUAGUUCCCUUGGAUAGAUUUGAAAUGCGAUUACUUUUAUGAGUUGAAAAUAAAGGGCUGGUAGUUGAUGCUUAGUGGGAAGCGCUCCCAGUGUGUUUCAAGCACUGUUUUUCAGCCUCCACUGAUAAGAAAACUGCUGACUUGGGAUUCUGGGGGCUGCUUUUUGUUGCUCUUUUCACUCCUGCUGCAGCUGCCCGCGGUCAGGAAACCUCGAGGCCACACGGGGAGAGACGCUCGGCCAGGACAGUGUGCAGCGGUGGCUGCAGCCUGCGCCUCACAGGGCAGUUGGCACGAGGACAGGCUUCGCACCUCCCCACCACGGAUCUGACUUUUCCCCAGGGCCAAGUGCUCAGGGGCAACGCAGCAACCCAGGCAGAAGUCAUUCCAAACUGGUUGUAAUGCCACGCUCUGCAGCUCAGCUCCAGGCCACCCUCUGAGGGAAAGGAGUUCUGCUGAAGUAGUCCUCAGGCAGGUGGGAAGGGUGGCUUGA